rnacentral:lncRNA from 1 species
AUGUUUCCUGCCAUCUUUUUCUCUCUUUUCUAUUACCCUCAAUCCCCGGCUUGAACGAUCCCUGCUUACUCUAUAUUGCUAACGACUACAUCUUGCAGGGUUAAGUUGAGCGCUUGUUUUUAGCGUAUCAAGAGGGUGUACAAGGGGUAUCCGAUUGGAUAUAAGGGCUCGGGUUGGGUAUAAACUUGAGUGCUCGAAUUGUGUAUAAAUUUGAGCGGUGUAAUCUUGUACUUG